rnacentral:rRNA from 1 species
CCUACGGGGGGCUGCCGUGGGGAAUAUUGCACAAUGGGGGAAACCCUGAUGCAGCGACGCCGCGUGAGUGAAGAAGUAAUUCGUUAUGUAAAGCUCUAUCAGCAGGGAAGAAAAUGACGGUACCUGAGUAAGAAGCCCAGGCUAACUACGUGCCAGCAGCCGCGGUAAUACGUAGGGGGCAAGCGUUAUCCGGAUUUACUGGGUGUCAAGGGAGCGUAGACGGCAGUGCAAGUCUGGAGUGAAAGGCGGGGGCUCAACCCCCGUACUGCUCUGGAAACUGUACGGCUGGAGUGCAGGAGAGGGAAGUGGAAUUCGGAGUGUAGCGGUGAAAUGCGUAGAUAUGAGGAGGAACACCAGUGGCGAAGGCGGCUUACUGGACUGUAACUGACGGGGAGGCUCGAAAGCGUGGGGAGCAAACAGGAUUAGAUACCCGGGUAGUC